CGCUAAUCGGAUCAGGGUUAGUCGGGGCCUAAGGCGCAUCCGAAGGGAGUAAGCCGAUGGACAACUGGUUAAUAUUCCAGUACUUUUUAUAACUGCGAUGUGGUGACGGAGUAGUGACACUGCCGCGAACUGACGGAAUAGUUCGUUAAAAGGCGUAGGUAUAGGGACGGUAGGCAAAUCCGCCGACCCUGCUGAAACCCAAUAGUACAGCAAAGCUUCGGCGGCGCUGAUAGAGCAGGUAAACAGACUUCCAAG
rnacentral:rRNA from 1 species